GAUGAACGCUGGCGGCGUGCUUAACACAUGCAAGUCGAACGAAUCACCUUGAUUCGUUUCUUCGGAUGAAGAUCUUGGUGACUGAGUGGCGGACGUGUGAGUAACGCUUGGGUAACCUGCCUCAUACAGGGGGAUAACAGUUAGAAAUGACUGCUAAUACCGCAUAUGACCACAGCUCCUCAUGUUGCAGGGGUAAAAACUGCGUUGGUAUGUGAUGGACUCGAUUCUGAUUAGUUAGUUGGUGGGGUAACGGCCUACCACGCCGACGAUCAGUAGCCGAGAAGAGAGGGGGACAGGACACAAUGGGAAUGAGACACGGACCAAAAUGCUACGGGAGGGAGCAGAGGGGAAUAUUGCAGAAGGGGGGAAAAAGUGAUGAAGCGACGAGGGGGGAGAGAUGAAGUAGGUCGGAAAGAAAAGCUGUAUAAGAAGGGAAGAAAAUGACGGUACCUGAAGAAGAAGCACCGGCUAAAUACGUG
rnacentral:rRNA from 1 species